AACGCACAUUGCGCCCGCCAGUAUUCUGGCGGGCAUGCCUGUCCGAGCGUCAUUUCAACCCUCGAACCCCUCCGGGGGGUCGGCGUUGGGGAUCGGCCCCUCACCGGGCCGCCCCCGAAAUACAGUGGCGGUCUCGCCGCAGCCUCUCCUGCGCAGUAGUUUGCACACUCGCACCGGGAGCGCGGCGCGGCCACAGCCGUAAAACACCCCAAACUCUGAAAUGUUGACCUCGGAUCAGGUAGGAAUACCCGCUGAACUUAA
rnacentral:misc_RNA from 1 species